rnacentral:snoRNA from 1 species
AGAUUAAAGUGGUGUUUCAUUUGUUGCUUCAUGUUGGUGUGGGGAGGGAUGGUGCUAACAGAGCCAGCAGAGGAAAUUCAGACGGAUGCUUCCAUGUGUCUUGGGGCCUGUCUCUGUGACUCCAACACAU